rnacentral:lncRNA from 1 species
AAUUUUGGCGUCGUUGCCGGGGACAAAAUUGCCUUUCAUCUACAUGUCACAUAGAACAAAAUUUCCUUUCAUCUACUACAAUCAACAUUCUCACACAUAAAUGUCAUCACAAGGACUUUUCAAGGAGUAUAAUGAGGUUGGACUAAUAAGAAAAAUUGGUUUUUCUAGAUCACUAAAUCCUUAAGUUGAGAGAGUUAUUCGAACAUUCAUAUUCAAGCACAAACUCUCUCUUUCACCAAUCUCACUCAUUCCUAACUUUCCCUUUUUCUUUUGCAUUGAGCUUUUCUUAUCAUUCUUAUCUUUUUUAUCGUUUUCAUGCUUUCUCAUUCAACACAUUAGCUCAAUGCUUUUCUUUGCCUUUCAAUUCUCCCGACAAC